rnacentral:rRNA from 1 species
CCUACGGGUGGCAGCAGUGGGGAAUAUUGGACAAUGGGCGAAAGCCUGAUCCAGCCAUGCCGCGUGUGUGAAGAAGGCCUUCGGGUUGUAAAGCACUUUCAGUGGGGAAGAAAGCCUUGGGGCUAAUACCCUCGAGGAAGGACAUCACCCACAGAAGAAGCACCGGCUAACUCCGUGCCAGCAGCCGCGGUAAUACGGAGGGUGCGAGCGUUAAUCGGAAUUACUGGGCGUAAAGCGCGCGUAGGCGGUCUGAUAAGCCGGUUGUGAAAGCCCCGGGCUCAACCUGGGAACGGCAUCCGGAACUGUCAGGCUAGAGUGCAGUAGAGGAAGGUAGAAUUCCCGGUGUAGCGGUGAAAUGCGUAGAGAUCGGGAGGAAUCCCAGUGGCGAAGGCGGCCUUCUGGACUGACACUGACGCUGAGGUGCGAAAGCGUGGGUAGCAAACAGGAUUAGAUACCCCGGUAGUC